AGGGUGGAAGAAAUUAUAGAGUUAUGAAUUCCUCUGUUUCCCCCAAUGUCUUAUAAUUUAUCAUGGUGUUUAUUGUUUUGAUGUUCUAACUGUACUCCGUUUGGCUACUGGGAGCCCCUUUAUGAUGGCUCCUGCGUAGCUCUGACAUACCUCUUUUUUUUUUUUUUUAAGCACUUUACUUUCUGGCAUAAUAAGAUGUUUCAGGCUCAUUUUAUACCUAUACUGUCCCAGCUGUGGAAUUUCUCAUUGCAAUAGUGUUACA